rnacentral:rRNA from 1 species
GAGACGUGUAGGGCUGAAUGCCUAGGCACCAAGAGCCGAAGAAGGACGCGGUAAGCUGCGAAAAGACUUACGGAUAGCUGCAAACAAGCUAUGACCCGUAGAUAUCCGAAUGGGGGAACCCACCUGAGCAAACCUCAGGUAUCUUACUGUGAUAAAUAGCAGAAAGAAGGGAACCCGGAGACUGAAACAUCUAAGGUACC